UCUGGGACAAGCCCUGGAAACGGGGUCUAAUACCGGAUAACACUCCUGCCUGCAUGGGCGGGGGUUAAAAGCUCCGGCGGUGAAGGAUGAGCCCGCGGCCUAUCAGCUUGUUGGUGGGGUAAUGGCCUACCAAGGCGACGACGGGUAGCCGGCCUGAGAGGGCGACCGGCCACACUGGGACUGAGACACGGCCCAGACUCCUACGGGAGGCAGCAGUGGGGAAUAUUGCACAAUGGGCGAAAGCCUGAUGCAGCGACGCCGCGUGAGGGAUGACGGCCUUCGGGUUGUAAACCUCUUUCAGCAGGGAAGAAGCGAAAGUGACGGUACCUGCAGAAGAAGCGCCGGCUAACUACGUGCCAGCAGCCGCGGUAAUACGUAGGGCGCAAGCGUUGUCCGGAAUUAUUGGGCGUAAAGAGCUCGUAGGCGGCUUGUCACGUCGGAUGUGAAAGCCCGGGGCUUAACCCCGGGUCUGCAUUCGAUACGGGCUAGCUAGAGUGUGGUAGGGGAGAUCGGAAUUCCUGGUGUAGCGGUGAAAUGCGCAGAUAUCAGGAGGAACACCGGUGGCGAAGGCGGAUCUCUGGGCCAUUACUGACGCUGAGGAGCGAAAGCGUGGGGAGCGAACAGGAUUAGAUACCCUGGUAGUCCACGCCGUAAACGUUGGGAACUAGGUGUUGGCGACAUUCCACGUCGUCGGUGCCGCAGCUAACGCAUUAAGUUCCCCGCCUGG
rnacentral:rRNA from 1 species